rnacentral:rRNA from 1 species
GUGUCAGCAGCCGCGGUAAUACGUAGGGGGCAAGCGUUAUCCGGAUUCAUUGGGCGUAAAGAGCGCGUAGGCGGCUUGUUAAGCGAGAUGUGAAAACCGGGGGCUUAACCCGCGGCCUGCAUCUCGAACUGGCAGGCUUGAGUCUGGUAGAGGAGUGUGGAAUUCCCAGUGUAGCGGUGAAAUGCGCAGAUAUUGGGAGGAACACCAGUGGCGAAGGCGGCACUCUGGGCCACGACUGACGCUGAGGCGCGAAAGCUAGGGGAGCAAACAGGAUUAGAUACCCUGGUAGUCCUAGCCGUAAACGAUGGGCACUAGGUGUGGGGGGUAUAACUCCCUCCGUGCCGCAGCUAACGCAUUAAGUGCCCCGCCUGGGGAGUACGGCCGCAAGGCUAAA